AUGGCUCUACUCCUCCUCUUUCUCCUCCUCUGGUCUGUCCUCCUUCCCUCCUCAGCACUGAUGUCUUCUCUUCUCUCCCUCCGUUUCAACAUGUCCUCUUCCAUUCACACUCAGUCUAUUGUCCUUCAUUCAUGUUUACAUGUUCUCAUGUCAUCAAUACACAGGCCCCCAUAUCGAUUGUUCUUAUUCCAUUUAGUAAUGUGUUGUGUGUGUCCAGUAUGCAGGUCUGCCAUGGACCCUCUCCUUCUGUUUUUGUUUCUAUACUGGAUAGACACUCUGCUGUUAUGUCUCUAUAGUUGUCUCCCAGCUGAUCCACGGAGAGUUGAAAUGGUGCCCACCUCCUUUAUUUACCUUGUGUGUUGUUCUUCAGAAAGGUCAACAAGUGCUACCGAGGUCGCUCCUGUCCCAUCAUCGUUCACUGCAGCGGCGGCACGGAGAGGACCGGCGCGUACAUCCUCAUCGACAUGGUGCUGAACCGCAUGGCCAAAGGAGUGAAGGAGAUCGACAUCGCAGCCACAUUGGAGCACAUUAGAGACCAAAGGCCUGAGCUUGUUCGCACCAAG
rnacentral:lncRNA from 1 species